CCUACGGGAGGCUGCAGUGAGGAAUAUUGGUCAAUGGGCGCUAGCCUGAACCAGCCAAGUAGCGUGAAGGAUGACUGCCCUAUGGGUUGUAAACUUCUUUUAUAUGGGAAUAAAGUGCAGUAUGUAUACUGCUUUGCAUGUACCUUAUGAAUAAGGAUCGGCUAACUCCGUGCCAGCAGCCGCGGUACUACGGAGGAUCCGAGCGUUAUCCGGAUUUAUUGGGUUUAAAGGGAGCGUAGGCGGGUUGUUAAGUCAGUUGUGAAAGUCUGCGGCUCAACCGUAAAAUUGCAGUUGAUACUGGCAGCCUUGAGUAUCGUAGAGGUAGGUGGAAUUCGUGGUGUAGCGGUGAAAUGCUUAGAUAUCACGAAGAACUCCGAUGGCGAAGGCAGCCUGCUGGACUGUAACUGACGCUGAUGUGCGAAAGUGUGGGUAGCAAACAGGAUUAGAUACCCUAGUAGUC
rnacentral:rRNA from 1 species